UACGAAGGGGCUAGCGUUGCUCGGAAUCACUGGGCGUAAAGGGUGCGUAGGCGGGUCUUUAAGUCAGGGGUGAAAUCCUGGAGCUCAACUCCAGAACUGCCUUUGAUACUGAAGAUCUUGAGUUCGGGAGAGGUGAGUGGAACUGCGAGUGUAGAGGUGAAAUGCGUAGAUAUCUGGAGGAACACCGGUGGCGAAGGCGACAUCCUGGACCGGUAUUGACGCUGAGGCGCGAAAGCCAGGGGAGCAAACGGG
rnacentral:rRNA from 1 species